rnacentral:rRNA from 1 species
AUGGGCAUAGCAUGCCAUCCAUACAUAAAUGAAACAAAAAAAACACGGUAUUGCUAUCGUAUGAAAAGUAACUGCAUCAUCUUGGAAACUGUUAUUUUGAAUUUUUAUAAAAGGUCAGUGACUGCUCUUCGAUUUGUUGAAUUUGCCGCAGAUUCCAGUUCAGAGAGGUCAGUGCAGAUGUUGAGCAGCGAGAUCUAUUCGCUUCGAUGGUUGUUGGGCCAUCCACACCGACACACGUCGAGUCAUCGUGCGCGGUUGUGUUUGGACAACUCGGCGGCACUGCUGAGUAGUGUAAAUCUGCCGGCAAGAGGAAGGAGUCUCAAACUCAGUCCGCCGAGUCCACCGGGAAGGUGA